UGGGGAAUAUUGCACAAUGGGCGCAAGCCUGAUGCAGCCAUGCCGCGUGUAUGAAGAAGGCCUUCGGGUUGUAAAGUACUUUCAGCGGGGAGGAAGGGAGUAAAGUUAAUACCUUUGCUCAUUGACGUUACCCGCAGAAGAAGCACCGGCUAACUCCGUGCCAGCAGCCGCGGUAAUACGGAGGGUGCAAGCGUUAAUCGGAAUUACUGGGCGUAAAGCGCACGCAGGCGGUUUGUUAAAUCAGAUGUGAAAUCCCCGGGCUCAACCUGGGAAAUGCAUGUUAUACUGGCAAGGUUGGGUUUCGUAGAGGGGGGUAGGAAUCCAGGUGUGGCGGGGAAAUGCCUAGGGAUCUGGGGGAAUAACGGUUGCGGAGGCGGCCCCCUAGAAGAAGGAGGAAGCUCAGGUGGCAAAACGUGGGGAGCAAACAGG
rnacentral:rRNA from 1 species